AACGUAGGAGGCAAGCGUUGCUCGGAAUUACUGGGCGUAAAGGGCGCGUAGGCGGGAUGGCAAGUCGGUCGUGAAAUCCCUCGGCUCAACCGAGGAACGUCGAUCGAUACUGCUGUUCUUGAGGAUUGCAGAGGAGACUGGAAUUCCCGGUGUAGCGGUGAAAUGUGUAGAGAUCGGGAGGAACACCGGUGGCGAAGGCGGGUCUCUGGGCAAUUCCUGACGCUGAGGCGCGAAAGUGUGGGGAGCGAACAGG
rnacentral:rRNA from 1 species